AGAGUUUGAUCCUGGCUCAGGAUGAACGCUAGCUACAGGCUUAACACAUGCAAGUCGAGGGGAAACGACAUCGAAAGCUUGCUUUUGAUGGGCGUCGACCGGCGCACGGGUGAGUAACGCGUAUCCAACCUGCCCACCACUUGGGGAUAACCUUGCGAAAGUAAGACUAAUACCCAAUGACGUCUCUAGAAGACAUCUGAAAGAGAUUAAAGAUUUAUCGGUGAUGGAUGGGGAUGCGUCUGAUUAGCUUGUUGCGGGGUAAGGCCACCAAGGCUACGAUCAGUAGGGGUUCUGAGAGGAAGGUCCCCACAUUGGGACUGAGACACGGUCCAAACUCCUACGGGAGGCA
rnacentral:rRNA from 1 species